GGGAAUUCUCUGGAAUGGAGAAAGAACCUAAGUGGCAUUUGUUCGCAGUGAAAAACAGAAGAAGAAGAAAAGCCCUGUCAGCUGGAAAGUGUCUGCGUCACCGUGAAGGGCCCUCUCCCGUGGCAGGGCGCCUAUUAUUAAUAGGGACGUAAUGACAUUAGGCCGCCCGAUGAAGUCAGCAGCCCUGGGCCCCGCCACCCCUCAUCCUGCAUUUACAGCCUCAUCUUUCAAUUAUGCUUUAAUUUGAACAUCUUCGACAAAGAGGCCAAGAGGAGAACCAAGCAGGUUUUAGCCUGGUUUUUUUUUUCCUUCCCCGUGAAGCAAACGAAGCACAUUUCAAACUCAAGGAGUCUGGGAUCGCUCCCCAAAUCCUGACACUCAGUCUUGAAAAAGAAUUAUGUGAGCCCUGUGCACCUGUCACCUGCGGUCCCUAAUAAUAACACAGAAGACUUUCAGAGCUGAGAGGAUUCCCCGGGGAUCCAAUCCAGCCUCUUCGCUGACAAGCCGGGAAACUGAGGCCCAAAGGAGCCCUAACUUGCUUGGAGCCAAGCCGGACCCAAUUCACAGAGUCUAGAUUUCUAAACCCGCAUCAGAAGGAGAGAACACCUCCGAUGGAUGUCGGUGCUUCUGUGGAGCCAUCCCGUCACCACAGAAGGCCGCAUCCUUAAGAAUGAUGGGGACCUCUUUACCGCAUAUGGGUCACUUCUGGACAUGCCCUUCACACUGUCUGGAGAGUCUAUUCAUGUGCUUCUGGCAAGGACUGCUGCAUACAGUUGCACAGGCUACGCACUACACAACUCCAGGCACUGCUAUCUCUUUAGACUAGAGUAUGAUGGAGCCGUGCCGUCUGCUGAGAGCAUCCUGGCCGUUCCACGGACGUGCCACACGCAGAGCACCUGGAAGGCCUUGUUCCGGGAGCCUGGAAACUGUCCCCUAACGUGACUGAAGACAAUAUAGGAGCCCUGAAUCAGGAAACCGAGGGCCUGAGUUCUAGGCUGACCUGCUGUGUUACAUGGCAAAGCUGUCCCCUCUCUGGGCCUCUGUCCCUUUGUCUGUGAAGUAACAGGGACAAGCGGCCUCUGAGGCCUUGUCCAGUGACUGUGUUCCCACUGCCAGAACCACUCAUCUCUGAGGAACGUGCAACAGCUCCCCCAUAGCGGAUACAAAGAUCAUGACCACUGCCAAGGUCCUCGACAGACUCCAACAUUGAAAGGGCCACACGGCCUCUCCUGGCCCAUCUCUGCCAGUCCUGGGAGCCGAGACUUUUCCGUGGGCCUACGUGCCGCAGAACAGAGCCUCCCCUGGGCUCGGUCCAACCCACAGGCUCCCGGGAGUCCCGGGGGAUCAUUCCAUGCGUCAGCGGCUUCCCCCUGGUCAUGGCCAUGACCUAGGGCUUCAUGACUGCCUCGGCUGCCAGGCCAGCAUUAAAUGUCCAGGCUGAGCGCUUGGUCACCACGGCACCUGACAGCUGGGUGGUUCUUCCUCAAACCGUCAUUGUGUCCUUUAAAUCCUGUGAGCGAGACAGCUGGAUGUGCUGCUGAGGAGAGCAAACAGGGCAUUCAUCCUGGGGACUCUAGCCCACGGACAGGGUUGAUGAGAUUCAUUGCUUUGCAGGAGCUCGGCCCCGUGACAGAGUGUAACGAACAUAACGAAACGAACAGCAUUCCCUCCACACCUCACAGUCUAUGAAGCUCUUUCCACACUCAUUAAGUCACUCAACAAACACGGAGGGCCUGCUCUGAGCCAGCUCACGGGGGCUGUCGACACGAACCAGCCCCGGUAUUGCUCAGAACUGCUCACAGCCUGCCUGGCUCAUAGCCCGUUUGAUUCUUAUGAUCACCAUGUGAGACAGGAAUUAUGCUCAGCCCUCCUUUUGCAGAGUGGAAAACAGGACAGGAAGAUUAGGGGACUUAUCCAAGAUCCCAUAGCGAAAGGCCAAGCU
ensembl:lncRNA